rnacentral:rRNA from 11 species
GCGCACGGUGGAUGCCUUGGCACUAGGAGCCGAUGAAGGACGGGACAAACACCGAUAUGCUUCGGGGAGCUGUAAGUAAGCGUUGAUCCGGAGAUUUCCGAAUGGGGAAACCCACUGUCCGUAAUGGGGCAGUAUCCAUACGUGAAUCCAUAGCGUAUGGAGGGCAUACCCGGGGAACUGAAACAUCUAAGUACCCGGAGGAAAGGACAUCAACGAGACUCCGUCAGUAGUGGCGAGCGAACGCGGAUCAGGCCAGUGCCUGGCUUUAGUUUACCGGAACGGUCUGGAAUGGCCGGCGAGAUGGGUGACAGCCCCGUACGGGACGGACGAUUGCCAGGACUCGAGUAGGGCGGGACACGUGAAAUCCUGUCUGAAGAUCGGAGGACCACCUUCGAAGGCUAAGUACUCCUUACUGACCGAUAGCGAACCAGUACCGUGAGGGAAAGGUGAAAAGUACCCCGGGAGGGGAGUGAAAGAGAACCUGAAACCGUGGACUUACAAGCAGUCACGGCGCCAUACGCGCGUUGUGGCGUGCCUAUUGAAGCAUGAGCCGGCGACUUAGUCCUACCUAGCGAGCUUAAGUCACAGACGAAGGCGGAGCGAAAGCGAGUCCGAACAGGGCGCUUGAGUUAGGUGGGCUAGACUCGAAACCAGGUG